rnacentral:piRNA from 1 species
UACUAUUUCGAAUGUAAGCAACACCAUC